ACAACAUUCGGGCCGUCGGUCUACCGAGCAUUAUCACCCGCUCGGUGGAAGACCUUCUCUUUCUCGG
rnacentral:pre_miRNA from 1 species